UACGGAGGGAGCUAGCGUUAUUCGGAAUUACUGGGCGUAAAGCGCACGUAGGCGGCUUUGUAAGUAAGAGGUGAAAGCCCAGAGCUCAACUCUGGAAUUGCCUUUUAGACUGCAUCGCUUGAAUCAUGGAGAGGUCAGUGGAAUUCCGAGUGUAGAGGUGAAAUUCGUAGAUAUUCGGAAGAAACACCAGUGGCGAAGGGCGGCUGACUGGACAUGUAUUGACGCUGAGGUGACGAAAGCGUGGGGGAGCAAACAGG
rnacentral:rRNA from 1 species